AACGUGUUCUUUACCUAACAAAUUUAAUUAGUAUAGAAUAGUGGGUUAUAAACUGGUGAUCGUCGCCAACCUUUUGUCUUCUUCUAACCUAACUACGAUCCUCCAAGUGGUUGUCAAAUUAAUCCGGCUAUGAUUGAAGAAGAUUUCUUGACUCCCGGCUCACCUCAAACGGAGUAGGUAUACUUUCGAAGCGAGAUAUGAAACAUUAAGCAGAUGAUUAUAUGGAGCUCUGCCCUAAUAUAAUUUCAGUAUGCAAUUCCGAUCGGUAGCUGAAAACAGAGGGUGAUAUAUCUUCUUUUUGAAACUCGUAUUGCUUUAUAAUAUGAAUAAAGAAGAUCAGUUUUUACUAUCUUGGUUAAUUCUCUUUGAAUUUGUUUGUUUUUCUGAAUUAGAUAGGUCUUGUAAAAUUCUAGUUGAGUUCAAACUUUUGGUGAAACAAUUGUCUCUGAAAUUGCAUAAUUUUUGCAAACUGGAAAAUGAAAAAUAAUCAUCCGCACUGUUUCAAUGUCAAGUAGGAUGUCAAGUAAGUGGGUUACGAAUUAAUGGAAAUGUGAUGGGUCUUGUGUUUAGUUUAAAUGGCAGUGUCUUUGAAAAAGUGUAUAAGGUCUUGUAAUAAUGAGGCACUAGUAAAAGUUCUCUGGUGAUAGUGUGAACUUAAAAGCUUUGCAAGUGAAAGCGUGUGAGGUCUAUCUUCUUGUCUUACUAACCGUAUUCUUAAGAUAAGUGUUCCAGAAACAGGGUUCUCAUCCAAAGAAAAGUCUUAUGGCUCCAGAUCGGUUCGUAUAUGAUGAUGCUCUCAUAAGAUAUCGAAGUCUCAGUCAAAGAGUUAUUCAUGUGCAUGUUCCUGCAUUCAAACCAGUCAUGAACCUCAUCGAUAGCAUGGGUUGGAGAGCUACAAUGACGAACGUUUCUGUCUUCUCGCCCAACUUGGUCAGAGAGUUCCUUGCAAAUCAUAGACGAAGUGUUUCAGAUUACCACAACCGUGGUAAAUCAGAUUUUUAAACACACCAGAUGGUGGAGACUCCGAGGACUGGAAACUAAUAGAUCUGGAUCACUCUGUUUCGAUUCUCAAUGGUGGGCUUUUCAAUAAGUGAAAUGACUUCUCUGUCAAAGAUCUUUGCCCGGUGUAUCGUCAGGCUUAUGAAGUCUGCAGUUCAAACUGGAUUCCAGGAGAGGACGAGGAAUGUGUUGUUCAGCAGCGCCUUGAAUUGCCGAGUUCUCUGGUCAAGAGGAAGCAAGUCAACUUUUUUGAACUCGUGGGGUCUCAAAUCCGUUGCAUCAAUAGUGAUUUGGCCGAAGAUUCGAAUGUCUGCUUCCUGAACUUUAUUCAUCAGAUUAUUGAGUGUCAAAAAUAUAUUAGUCACUUUCUUGAUGAUGAUAAGGUUAUGGGGGAGCCUCAAAAUAUCAGCCAAGACACAAUUGGCGAACAUGUUUUUAUCUGAUGAGUCACACAAUUCAUGUGGAGGAGAAGCACUCAUUUUUCUGUGAUUGCGCAGAUUGUUGUUUGUGAUUUGUUUUCUUUGUGUUGUUCUAAAACUAUACUUCUGUUUUAUGAUUCCUUGAACUCUUGAACUCUUCGUGACAAAAAAAAAAAAUUUCCUUGAACU